GGUGCCGGAGUGGUUAACGGGAUGGACUUGAAAUCCAUUGGCCUCUGGCCGCGCAGGUUCGAAUCCUGCCCA
rnacentral:tRNA from 1 species